UCCCUGGGGGUUCAGUAGUUAAGACUCUGCCCUUCCACUGCAGGGGAUGCAGGUUCGAUCCCUGAUCAGGGAA
rnacentral:tRNA from 1 species